GACGAACGCUGGCGGCGUGCUUAACACAUGCAAGUCGAACGGAAAGGCCCUGCUUGCAGGGUACUCGAGUGGCGAACGGGUGAGUAACACGUGGGUGAUCUGCCCUGCACUUCGGGAUAAGCCUGGGAAACUGGGUCUAAUACCGGAUAGGAGCCAUUUUUAGUGUGAUGGUUGGAAAGUUUUUUCGGUGUAGGAUGAGCUCGCGGCCUAUCAGCUUGUUGGUGGGGUAAUGGCCUACCAAGGCGGCGACGGGUAGCCGGCCUGAGAGGGUGGACGGCCACAGUGGGACUGGGAGCCGGCCCAGACCCCUGCGGGGGGGGGAAGGGGGAAUUUUUGCAAAAUGGGGACAGGCCUGAUGCGGCGCCGCGGGGGGGGGGUGGACGGCUUGCGGUUUUUAACCUCUUUCGGCAGGGGAGAAGGCUUUUGGGGCGGGAACUUAAAAAAGAACCCCGGCCAAACUCGGUG
rnacentral:rRNA from 1 species